rnacentral:rRNA from 1 species
AUACGUAGGGUGCGAGCGUUGUCCGGAAUUACUGGGCGUAAAGAGCUCGUAGGUGGUUUGUCGCGUCGUCUGUGAAAUUCCGGGGCUUAACUCCGGGCGUGCAGGCGAUACGGGCAUAACUUGAGUACUGUAGGGGAGACUGGAAUUCCUGGUGUAGCGGUGAAAUGCGCAGAUAUCAGGAGGAACACCGGUGGCGAAGGGGGGUCUCUGGGCAGUAACUGACGCUGAGGAGCGAAAGCAUGGGUAGCGAACAGGAUUAGAUACCCUGGUAGUCCAUGCCGUAAACGGUGGGCGCUAGGUGUAGGGGUCUUCCACGACUUCUGUGCCGUAGCUAACGCAUUAAGCGCCCCGCCUGGGGAGUACGGCCGCAAGGUUGAAACUCAAAUGAAUUGGCGGGG